CAUCAGGUUAGAAGUGAUUAUGUAACCAACUAUAUCUGGCUGUUGAAGAAUAUCACACGCGUCUAAAAUUGGAAAUCUCAACCCUUCAUUCCAUCAAAACAACCCUCUAUAUAAUAGUUGGUAUGUUUUCCCUAAUUUCAAUUCAAUUUCAUCACCCCUGUCAAUUCAAUUCUUCUUUCUCUCCUCCUCUCCAACCUAUCACGUAUCAAGAAUUCAUGGUUUUCACAUGGAUAGGAUUCCGAUCUACUCGCCAAUCGUCCUUUUCCUACGAAAUGGUGCGAUUACUUUUCGGUUCGACUUUUUUCUUGCUUACGUUCUUUCACUCUUACGUGUCCGUGUUUUAUUGUUUUUCCAGGAUUUGAAGCGCGGUGUCACCGAUCUACCGUUCAGAGGUAUGAUGAUCGUGUUCUUGUUGAUUGUCUCAUGAAGUCUUGGUGAAUAUAGCGCGGAUCGAGAGAACAAGAUUAGGCCGGUGCAGUGGUUCAUUCUUGUCGUUCCACUGUGGAGUUCUUGGCAUUCGGAUUUAAAGAAUGAUAUGAGGGUUUUUGAGGGAAAAUCUUCGGUGUAAAUGGUAGAAUGAGUAUUUGGGGUUGAAGUGGUUGUGGAGAACUUGGUCAACCGACCUUUGCCAUGGCAGGUGCGCUUGCAUGGCAGGUCAAAAAAAUGAAUAAAAAAAAGAUUAUUUGUGGGUUUUGAGGGAGAUCGUACGGGAAUUCCCGGGUUCUCCCUCCGGUGUGGUGGCGUGUUUGAUGUGUUCCUUUUCCUUCCUCUGCCCUUUCUUUUAUAUCUUUCUUUUCCUCGCUCACACUCCUUGCCACGGAUACACCACCACUGGACUCGCUUCGCCAUUCUUCUAACGAGGUAUCUUAUAAUCUAUCGGUCUAAUUUUUCAUGCCUUUCUUUUUUCGCAACAUAGUCAAUAUACAAAUAACAACGAAAAAAUAAUACAAUUGCAAACAUUGAUUAAUUGAAUCAAGGAAUUCGUAUAUGAGAAAUGAAUCACAUGUAGUUUAUCUUUCCAUAUGGUGAAUUAGUAAUUGAAGUGAUUAUGUAAAUGCGUAACAGCAACAUUGAUCCUUUGGUCGACUUCUAUAAUAACUUUAGUCAAGAGAUAUUUUCCUCUGUAAACUUAUUCUUCUUCAUCUUUAAAUUUUGCAACGCUAUUACUACGAGUAUCAUUUUCGGUUGUGUUUCACCGUAUCAUGUAUUGUAGUGAUCUUCCUCAUCUUGAUUGCAAG
rnacentral:lncRNA from 1 species